CCUACGGGGGGCUGCAGUGAGGAAUAUUGGACAAUGGGGGCAACCCUGAUCCAGCCAUGCCGCGUGUGUGAAGAAGGCCCUCGGGUUGUAAAGCACUUUCAGUGAGGAAGAACGCCUGGUGGUUAAUACCCAUCAGGAAAGACAUCACUCACAGAAGAAGCACCGGCUAACUCCGUGCCAGCAGCCGCGGUAAUACGGAGGGUGCGAGCGUUAAUCGGAAUUACUGGGCGUAAAGCGCGCGUAGGUGGCUUGAUAAGCCGGUUGUGAAAGCCCCGGGCUCAACCUGGGAACGGCAUCCGGAACUGUCAAGCUAGAGUGCAGGAGAGGAAGGUAGAAUUCCCGGUGUAGCGGUGAAAUGCGUAGAGAUCGGGAGGAAUACCAGUGGCGAAGGCGGCCUUCUGGACUGACACUGACACUGAGGUGCGAAAGCGUGGGUAGCAAACAGGAUUAGAUACCCCUGUAGUC
rnacentral:rRNA from 1 species